rnacentral:tRNA from 1 species
AAAGCCAAUAUAAUGAGGCCUCUUCUUUGUUAAAGAAGAAACAGAGUG